AAACGUACGCUGGCGGCACGCCUAACACAUGCAAGUCGAACGAAGUAGCAAUACUUAGUGGCAGACGGGUGAGUAACAUGUAGGUAUCUGCCCUUUGGCCUGGAAUAACACGAGGAAACUUGUGCUAAUACCGGAUAAGUCUUUACGGAGAAAGCUUUAUGCACCAUUGGAUGAGCCUGCACUUGAUUAGUUUGUUGGUGGGGUAAUGGCCUACCAAGACUGUGAUCAAUAGCUGAUUUGAGAGGAUGAUCAGCCACAUUGGGACUGAGACACGGCCCAAACUCCUACGGGAGGCAGCAGUGGGGAAUCUUGCACAAUGGAGGAAACUCUGAUGCAGCGAUGCCGCGUGAGUGAAGAAGGCCCUUGGGUUGUAAAGCUCUUUCGUCGGGGAAGAAAAUGACUGUACCCGAAUAAGAAGGUCCGGCUAACUUCGUGCCAGCAGCCGCGGUAAUACGAAGGGACCUAGCGUAGUUCGGAAUUACUGGGCUUAAAGAGUUCGUAGGUGGUUGAAAAAGUUAGUGGUGAAAUCCCAGAGCUUAACUCUGGAACUGCCAUUAAAACUUUUCAGCUAGAGUAUGAUAGAGGAAAGCAGAAUUUCUAGUGUAGAGGUGAAAUUCGUAGAUAUUAGAAAGAAUACCAAUUGCGAAGGCAGCUUUCUGGAUCAUUACUGACACUGAGGAACGAAAGCAUGGGUAGCGAAGAGGAUUAGAUACCCUCGUAGUCCAUGCCGUAAACGAUGUGUGUUAGACGUUGGAAAUUUAUUUUCAGUGUCGCAGGGAAACCGAUAAACACACCGCCUGGGGAGUACGACCGCAAGGUUAAAACUCAAAUGAAUUGACGGGGACCCGCACAAGUAGUGGAGCAUGUGGUUUAAUUCGAAGAUACGCGCAGAACCUUACCAACACUUGACAUGUUCGUCGCGACUCUAAGAGAUUAGAGUUUUCGGUUCGGCCGGACGAAACACAGGUGCUGCAUGGCUGUCGUCAGCUCGUGUCGUGAGAUGUUGGGUUAAGUCCCGCAACGAGCGCAACCCUCACUUUUAGUUGCCAUCAUUAAGUUGGGCACUCUGAAAGAACUGCCAGUGAUAAGCUGGAGGAAGGUGGGGAUGACGUCAAGUCCUCAUGGCCCUUACGUGUUGGGCUACACACGUGCUACAAUGGUAUCUACAACAGGAAGCAAAACUGCGAAGUUAAGCAAAUCCCUAAAAGAUACCUCAGUUCGGAUUGCACUCUGCACCUCGAGUGCAUGAAGCUGGAAUUACUAGUAAUCGUGGAUCAGCGUGCCACGGUGAAUGCGUUCCCGGGUCU
rnacentral:rRNA from 1 species